UACAGAGGGUGCAAGCGUUAAUCGGAAUUACUGGGCGUAAAGCGUGCGUAGACGGUAGCGUAAGUCGGGUGUGAAAGCCCCGGGCUCAACCUGGGAAUUGCAUUCGAGACUGCUCUGCUAGGGUGCGGAAGAGGGAAGCGGAAUUUCCGGUGUAGCGGUGAAAUGCGUAGAUAUCGGAAGGAACACCAGUGGCGAAAGCGGCUUCCUGGUCCAGCACCGACGUUCAGGCACGAAAGCGUGGGGGGCAAACAGG
rnacentral:rRNA from 1 species